GACGAACGCUGGCGGCGUGCUUAACACAUGCAAGUCGAACGAAGAGCGAUGGAAGCUUGCUUCUAUCAAUAUUAGUGGCUAACGGGUGAGUAACGCGUAAUCAACCUGCCCUUCAGAGGGGGACAACAGUUGGAAACGACUGCUAAUACCGCAUACGAUCUAACCUCGGCAUCGAGGAUAGAUGAAAGGUGGCCUCUACAUGUAAGCUAUCACUGAAGGAGGGGAUUGCGUCUGAUUAGCUAGUUGGAGGGGUAACGGCCCACCAAGGCGAUGAUCAGUAGCCGGGCUGAGGGGAUGGACGGCCACAUUGGGAAUGAGACACGGCCCAGACUCCUAAGGGAGGCAGCAGUGGGGAAUCUUCCGCAAUGGACGAAAGUCUGACGGAGCAACGCCGCGUGAGUGAUGACGGCCUUCGGGUUGUAAAGCUCUGUUAAUCGGGACGAAAGGCCUUCUUGCGAAUAGUUAGAAGGAUUGACGGUACCGGAAUAGAAAGCCACGGCUAACUACGUG
rnacentral:rRNA from 1 species